rnacentral:rRNA from 1 species
UACAGAGGGUGCGAGCGUAAUCGGAGUUACUGGGCGUAAAGGGCGCGUAGGCGGUUAUAUAAGUGAGAUGUGAAAUCCCUGGGCUUAACCUAGGAACUGCAUCUCAUACUGUAUGACUGGAGUAUUGUAGAGGGUAGUGGAAUUUCCGGUGUAGCGGUGAAAUGCGUAGAGAUCGGAAGGAACACCAGUGGCGAAGGCGGCUACCUGGACAAAUACUGACGCUGAGGCGCGAGAGCGUGGGGAGCAAACAGG